UCCAAGUGUUUAUACCAUGAACCUGUCUGAACAUACCUGAAAGCUUACAAGAGCAUAGAUCCAUACAAACAGUCUGUGUGCGGCUGGGUUCGCGAUGUGGGAGCUGUUGUCAGAAAUGGAUACCACCUAGUCAGUGGAAAGCGCAGGUACUACAAGGUCAUUGUAACUUUUCAAGACAAAAGAGUAGAAGAAGAAGAUGACGAUGAAGAGUAAAAUGUAGACCACAAGUCCAUCCAUCCAUUAUCCUCACAAGGGUCACGGGAGUGCAGGAGCCUAUCCCAGCUGUCAAUGAGCAGGUGGCGGGGUACACCCUGAACUGGUUUGUGCAUUUUAGUAAUGUUCAUAUAUUUCAUUUUUAACACCUGUCAUGGUCCUGCCGGGCCCUGUCCUGGCUGUACCGGUCCCCAAUGCGGCACGCACCUGCUGCAAUCAGCAGAGGUGCACACCUGGGCUUCGUCUCAAGUGAUUACGUCCCAUUAAUAUAGAAACAAACGUACGGUCUGGCCUCUGCCAGAUCGUUGCCUGAUGCCUCGUUCCAUCACUCUCGUAAUCCCGUUCCUGAUCUCCCGCGUACCGAACCCUGCCUGGCCACUGACCUGCCUCCUACGCCUGACGACCUAGUUACUGCUGCUCCCUGA